UUUUUUUUUUUUUUUUUUUUUUUGUUUUUAGGGCUGCACCCUUGGCAUUGGAAGUUCCCAGGCUAGGGCGAAUGAGAGCUAUAGCCGCUGGCCACAGCCACAGCAAUGCAGCAGCCAAGCCUCAUCCAUGACCUAUCCUAUACCACAGCUCAGGGCAACACCAGAUCCUUAACCCACCAAGCGAAACCAGGGAUCAAACUUGCAUCCUCGUGGAUACUAGUUGGAUUCAUUUCUGCUGUACCACAAUGGGAACUCUUCUAGAUAUCUUCUGAUAAACAAUUUCAGGCUUAUUUUAAUCUAUGUUGAAUCACAUGAAAAAAAAUCAUUGUAUUAAACUGAUAGGAGAACAAAAACAACUAGGCUGCUGAGUGAAAAUUAUUUAGGAAUAUUUGGUGACGAGGAGAAGAAGUGUUUAUUGUCUGCACUGGCUGGUAUUCAAUAUCAGGAAGCUCAUUGCACAUGGAAUAGGAGGAAGGGAAAUAAGGACAGAGAAGUAACCUGGCCUGGGUUCAUAUAGUACAUGCCAGACAGCCCUCUACAUGUAGCUAUAGACUUUGAGUCUGCUUGUCUACUUUGGACACAUUUUCCCUGGCUUUUCAUAACAGAUUCAAAGAGACUACUUCAAUUAAUUUUAGAUCAUUCAAUUUAAGAUUGUUCUGAGCUCUGGCAGUGACUUUCAGUAGUAUUGUUUUCAGUGACUCUACAUCCUUUGGAAUGGCAUAAACUUCACGAUUCCUUGUGUUUUCUGGCUUGUAAUUCGUUGCUAAUGGCGGUUGGUACAACUGUGAACCUUGUGUCAGAAUACCUUAACUGUUAUCUUAGCAACUUUUUGCUAUGAUAGACAAUUUAUUUUAUAGAUGUCAUAUAUGUCUAUAUAUAUUUAGCAAAUGAUCCUUAUCUUUGCCACUUACAAGUUAUAAAAAGGAGCACAUGUAAAGAGACUAAAUGCCACAUCAGAAGGGAAUUUUUUCAAAAAACUCUAUAAAAGGAGAUUUCAUUUUGUUUUAUUUUUGAAACCUCCAGGUAGGCAAAUUACCAUGAUACUUUGCCACUAGGUAUAUCCAGGAAAAGUCAAAUCUGGGAAACCAGUGACAUUAAUUCAGUAACCCAGGCAACAAAAAUUAAUGACUUGAAUUAAAGAACAAGGGUUGAAGAAAAGAGAAAAUCAAGAGAUAUUUAGGAGUUAAAUUUGAAAAUGUUUGAACUUAAAAGGAUUAAGUGUGGUGUGAGGAAGAAACAGGUAACAACAGUGACUUCCAGGCUUCUAGCUUGAGUAGUAGGUAAGUAUUCCCAAGUAUUUUAUCACAACUUUUGAACAAAAAUCCUGGAAUGAGCAGAAGAAAACUGUUCUUCAACCACUAUUAUAAGUGCACAGUGAAGUUCCAUGUAAUUGCCACUAUUAUAAGUGCACAGUGAAGUUCACAGCUCAAGUGAAUCCAAAUUGUAAUCCAGGGUGAUUUACAAUAUUAACAGAUCUGGGUAAAUGAUGCUAAGCCUAAAUACUGUUUGAAUGCUCUGACAGUCACUCCUUAUCUAAUGAAUUUCAAUAUAGUGAAGUUUGGCACAAUGUCCUUUUGGCUUCUGUGGUCUGAAGGGUCUUCCAGGUACCUCGGUGAAUUAGCUGAGUGAAUUGCCCUGACUGCAUUGUAUUUCAGCUUCAUCCUCUGAGGAAUCCAGUUUCCUUCACUCUCUCCACAGGUGCUAAUUCUGAAAACACUCCCCAGUAAAUGUCCUUUGGCAAAUCUUCAUGUCAAAGUUUGCUUCCUGGGGAAGCAAGCAUGUACAUCAUUUCAAGAAGUCCUCAUUUUCUUUCCUUUCAGUUUGAGAUUGAAGUAUCUCAAAGCAUUUCUCAAGCAUAUGUCUGUGCUUUUGCUACCUAUUUCUGAUAUCUAAAAACAAUGGACUUGAGAGAUUAUUUGAGUGUGUUGAUCUUUCUUCAGAAGUUAAUGACGGCCCUGUGAAAUUGAUAUUAAGGAUUAACACAUUUUUUAUAGUUAAUUCCUUUAUAAUUGUGAUAUUUAACUGUUGAAUCUUGUAAUUAGUCUUUGGGCAAUUUUGAUAAUACUGUUGUUGGUGAAGUCAAAUAUGAUUGAAAAACCUAAAGAUCAAGAUCUUUAGGUAUACUUUCAGUUAUAGCAGUAAUUAUAUCAAAUUCAUUUUGUCUAACUCUGGUGCUUUCUGGGAAUUAACAAGUUUUUAUAAUUUGUUGCUCCAAAUAUUAAAAAUAUCUCAAAACAACUAUGACUUAUGUUAAUAUAAUAAUGGAAGGUAGGUGAAUUACAGGCGAGAGGCUCUUUUUAAAAAUCCUUGUUUUAGAUGUAUAUGGCAUCUGCUUUAGGUUUGAUUCCUCUUUUGCUAAGAGGCAGCCAAGGACCUCCAGCCGUGUGUUUAUAUUUGAUGUCAGGGAAGACUGCUGGGAGGUGGCAAUAGGAAAGCUUUCCCUCAGAAAUGAAAAACAUCUACAUCUCACAGUGCUGUAUGUGGCUGAAGGUAUGAUUUAGGAAAUUCACAUGUACAUUAAGUAUGUAAAAAUAUACUGUUUUAUUUUGCAUCUUUAGGCUUAAGUUGCAAAUGCUUGUGAGGAAAAAAUACAAUAGGAAAUGUUAAAAAUGAGUGGUAACAUGGAACAGUGGUCUUUGUUUUAUUAAACUUUCAGAGAGAAACACAGAAAUAAGUCUUGUGGAGACGUGAUUUUGGCUGCUGUUAGAAUACCACUGUUCUCUAGCACUGCAGUGAGCAAACAGUAGAUUUUGUUUGAGGUGUUCCAGAAUAUCUGUUAUGUUGACAUGAACAGAUGUGCACUAGAUGAUUACAAUUUGAUGAGCUGAAUUAAAUCUCUGCAAUCAGGCUUCUAGGGAUCUCUUUAACAUGUCCAGAGGUCAAAAGAUGUUAGUAAAUUUGUAUAUCCACAUUGUAUGUAUGCGUGGGGGGGUGGGGGAGUUGGGCUGUGUUUCAGAGAGAAAGCAUUUUGGAAAAGUGAAUAGGAGGGAGUAAGCAUACAAUUUAGAAUCUUCAUUAAAAUAAAAUUGCUUCCAGUGGGUGUCUGGAAACUUUUAUUUUUGCUGUGAAAUAUUUCAAUAGUUGUUCUGUAUGUAUAGCAGGCUACACUUUAUUUUUUUUUAUUUUUUAUUUUUUUUGGGGGUAUCACACAAGCAGCAUAUGGAAGUUCCCAGGCUAGGGGUCAAAAGCUACAGCCACUGUCCUAUGCCACAGCCACAGCAACAUGGGAUCCAAGCCGCAUCUGUGACUACACCACAGCUCGGGACAAUGCCAGAUCCUUAACCCACUGAGUGAGGCUAGGGGUAGAACCCGCAUCCAUGCAUCUCAUGGAUCCUACUCAGGUUCAUUAACCGCUAAGCCACGAAGGGAACUCCUGCAGGCUACACCCUUUCUACCAGCUGCCUUAAAAUUGGGACAGAGAAAUCAAAGCAAAAUUGAGCCAAGUACAAACUUCAAAAUAGGCAUUUUGUGAAAAGCAAACAAAAGCAUUAAACACAAUGAAACCAAACAAAAUAUGAGAAAAAUAACCAAAACAUCUUCCAAAUUAAUGCAUGUUUCAGAUGUGUAGGACGUGAACUAGAAUUUGACACUGAAUGCAAGCAAAAUAUUUAUAACUCAUUGAAAAAAAAAAAAAAAAAACUUGUUUUCUUUCCCAGACAGUUGAAAUUGAGAAACAGCCCUGCCUGUCCAACAUUAAUUUUUACAUUGAACCAUAGAACCAACAAAACUACUAAUGUGUAUAAAUUCAUUUUCACAUCUAAAACAGACAUAUGAAGCAUUUCACAAUUUCAUGAUCAAAGCUAAGUACCUUAUUUCUAGCACAGUUUUUACUUGGCUUAAAAUUCUCACAUUAUUUUUAUUUGAUAUCUACAUUUCUUUUAAUGGUUCUUAAUUGUUUUUAAUUUUCCUUCUAAAGUUUUAAUUAUUAUUAAGUUCUUAGACUAAAUUCCUGUAAACAAUUAUCAUUUGAGUAAGAGAUAAAGAUGCUGAGUUCCACAUAUAUUAAAUGGUUUCCCUUAGGGAAGACAGCAAGUCUCCUGCAGCCUAAAAAUGAAUGUUUGUUUACAGGCUUAUCAUCAUCACCUGCUGAGUUUAUCCUUUUUCUACCUGCAUAAAGAAUGCUUGAUGGCAUUACCAUACAAUUUAUGAUUUUUAUAAAGUUUGUUUCUUAUUCUUUCAAAUGUUUUGUCUCCUUUACUCUCAGUACAUGGUAUUGUUGAUCAAUUUCUAUUCCUUUAGAAGCCUAAAACAGGAAACAGAGAUUGCAGAAAAGGAAACCCAGACAUAGGCAAUUCAUAUAUCCUGGGCACUCUGGAAGAUAGUUGCCUCUCUAGCCACUCUUUUACGUAAAUGCUCCAAAAGGGCAGAGUGAUUCAUAGAGCACAAUGGGAUUAUGAUCUUCAUCCACAAAACCUAUGACUGAAUUUUUUUUUUUCAUCUUGGUGAAUAUUAAAAAGAGCAGCUCGUGUUUAUGUCAGUUUAUUAGGUGUUUUAUAUAUAUUAACUCAUUCACUCAUGUCUCUAGUCAAAAUUUGUUGACUAUCUAUUGUCAGAAAUGGUUCCUACCUUUGAAAGAUUCACACUCUAUUGAAAAGAAAUACCAUACAGAAAUAUUAUAAAACUAGUACAAUAUUAAUGUGUAAUAUCAUUUAGGGGAUCAGCAAAAGAGGGUGCAACCUGGACUUCGACAUAUUUAUUUAUUUAUUUAUUUAUUUAUUUAUUUAUUAUUUUCGGUCUUUUUAGGGUAACACCCAUGGCAUAUGGAAGUUCUGAGGCUAGAGGUCGAAUUGGAGCUGUAGCUGCUGGCCUACGCCACAGCCACAAUAAUAUGGGAUCCAGUCUGCAUCUGUGACCUACACCACAGCCCAUGACAAUGCCAGAUCCUUAAUCCACUGUGUGAGGCUAGGGAUCAGACCCGCAUCCUCAUGAACACCAGUUGGGUUUGUAAUCUGCUGAGCCAUGAUGGGAACUCCCUGGACUCUUAUUUUAAGGAAGAGAAGAAAUAAAGCCAGGUGAAGGACAUUAAGAAAGAGUUAAAUACCCAAAUGUUGUCAGAACCAGAUGCUUCCGUGAACAAGUCUCAAAUGUGUUGGUAACAGGUAAUUCUGGUAAUAAUUGAACCAUUCCAGGACAUAAAGAAAAUUAAUGCAAUGAGCUAGUAAAACCUAUUAAAUAGCUGAGAAAAAUAAAUUAAAAGUAUGGAAAGUAAUCCCAUUUAUACAAUAAAUGCAAAGAUAUGCAGUAAAAUACGCAACACUUAAUUCCAAAAAGAAAUUAAAAUAUCAAUAUAUAAUUUCCAGAGAGCUUUUUUCCUAGAAAGGCAUGACAAUUCAUCAUAAAAAUAUAUCAAUAAAACCCAUCAUACAGUAGAUCAAAUAAAAAAAGAGUAUAUGUUUAAAUUAUUAUUAAAAAUAAUAGCAGUAGUUUUUAUUUUUUCAACCUAAGAGAUAGUUUACUGUUUCUUUCACUUUCAAGAUGAGGAAAUUGUAUUUUAUAAAGUUAAAUUGAUUUUCCCUGAAAUUAUAGUUUGUUUUUGAGCGGUGAAUAUUAAUGUGAUUAUGUUUAAAACAAUGAGUCCUUAUCUUUUAAAAGCUUACUUAAAUACUGGCACAGUUUCUGGAAUUUCCUUCAGAAUAAAAUGGGUGAUUUGGACCUGGGUGAGGGCAUAGAUGAAGUAAGUGCAGCUACUGGCCGAUAAUUGUUGAAUCAGGUAAUGAAUAAAUGUUCAAUAUACUGUUCUCUCUACUUUUGAUUAUAUUUGCAACAUUUCUUAAUACAAAUUUAAAUAAAGCUGCUUGUUUUAGUUAUAAACAUUAUAGGAACCAUUUGAGAAGAAGUUUAAAAGUUCAGUAAUGGGCACUAAUAAGUUGCAUAAAUUGAGUAAUAAACCAUUUCUCAAAUAAGAAUGUUAAUGAUAAAAAAUCACGCAUAAUUAAUAUAAAAAUUUAACAAUCAUAAUCUUAGCACAUCUUCUUGUCUGCAUUGAAGAAUGUU
rnacentral:lncRNA from 1 species